AAACACCAAUCCGCGAGGGAGGAAACAGAAGACGAUGUGAAGAAACUCCUCGCUUUCUUUGAGAAAAUGCAGCAAAUAAACCCGGAGUUCUUCUAUGAUUACGAGGUGAACGCGAGCUGCCGGGGAUCCUACGAAGAUUUUGGAGGUUGUGUCACAUUUGACACGACCUACAAGACCAACAAGUUCCACAUGCCUCUGGCCGUCUUCGUUGGAUUCAACCACCACCUCCAAAGUACAAUAUUUGCUGUGGCUCUCAUCAGAGACGAAACAAUACCGACUUUCGAGUGGGUGUUCCGGACGUUCUUGCGUUGCAUGAACAACAAGUAGCCAAUCUGCAUACUUACAGAUCAAUGCCCCUCCAUGGAUGCCGCGAUAAAAAGUACGCUAAUAGGCACGCUGCACAAGUUAUGCCAUUGGCAUAUACUGAAAAAAUACAAGGAUCACCUGUUCUUGUUGUACAAAGCGUAUGAGACAUUCAAAGAUGAGCUGACCUCAGUUCUCAACCACCCGCUAAUGCCAUCAGAGUUUGAAUGCGCUUGGCAUGAGCUCAUGGAGAAGUAUAACCUGCAAAAUGAUGAAAUUAUGAAGGCGCUCUGGACAGACCGAAAAGAAUGGAUAUCGGCUUACUACAAGGAGGUGUUCUGUGCACAGAUGACAUCGACACAGAGAAGUGAAAGCAUGAACCGGAUCUUGAAGAGGAACUUUGUCAAGGAAAGACAUGACCUACACAUCUUUGCAUCACAGGUGGACAGGUGCAUCCAGACAAGGAAGGGCGUCGAGCACGCGGAGACCAUAGCUAACGAGGUAUAUAACUAG
rnacentral:rRNA from 1 species